rnacentral:rRNA from 1 species
GUGCACGCUGGCGGUAGGCCUAACACAUGCCAGUCGAACGGCAGCACAGUAAGAGCUUGCUCUUACGGGUGGCGAGUGGCGGACGGGUGAGGAAUACAUCGGAAUCUACUUUUUCGUGGGGGAUAACGUAGGGAAACUUACGCUAAUACCGCAUACGACCUACGGGUGAAAGCAGGGGAUCUUCGGACCUUGCGCGAUUGAAUGAGCCGAUGUCGGAUUAGCUAGUUGGCGGGGUAAAGGCCCACCAAGGCGACGAUCCGUAGCUGGUCUGAGAGGAUGAUCAGCCGCACUGGAACUGAGACACGGUCCAGACUCCUACGGGAGGCAGCAGUGGGGAAUAUUGGACAAUGGGCGCAAGCCUGAUCCAGCCAUACCGCGUGGGUGAAGAAGGCCUUCGGGUUGUAAAGCCCUUUUGUUGGGAAAGAAAAGCAGCAGGUUAAUACCCCGCUGUUCUGACGGUACCCAAAGAAUAAGCACCGGCUAACUUCGUG